GACGAACCGUGCGAACGUUGUUCGGAAUCACUGGGCUUAAAGGGCGCGUAGGCGGGCUGUCAAGUCUGGGGUGAAAUGCCGCGGCUCAACCGUGGAACUGCCUUAGAUACUGACGGCCUCGAGGAAGGUAGGGGCAUGCGGAACUGUAGGUGGAGCGGUGAAAUGCGUAGAUAUCAAGAGGAACACCUGAGGUGAAGACGGGUUGCUGGGCUGACACUGACGCUGAGGCGCGAAAGCCAGGGGAGCAAACGGG
rnacentral:rRNA from 1 species